rnacentral:lncRNA from 1 species
CUUAAUAAUCAGCUAACAAUUGAAAAGUGGCAUUAAAAAAGUAAAUUAACAUUGUUUAUCAUACACUUUUUAGUAUUAAUUAAUUAAAUUAUCAUGAAAAAGUAAAAUGCAUUAGGCUUAUGUACAAUUCUGUUUGUUAAAUUUCCGUAAGACCAUAAAUAUCAAAUUCUUUAUGCGUCGCAUCUGAUUAAUAGGAAUUGCCUGUUAAUUCUUGUUGCAAACCAGUGUUUAAAAUUUAUAUUUUUCUUAAUUAAAUAGUAAGCUCAACUAAUGGUAUUCCUAGCAUUGGUGUCACCUGAUGCAGUAAUUCAUGGUAUUACCCUUCUCCCUCAAUAUUAUAUAAAAUGUUUGGUUGUUAGAAAACAUGGAUUUAAGUUUGAUACAAAUAGCUCGCACGUGUUUAAAAAGGACUUGAUUGUAAACGUGUUAAAAAGGGCCUACAGUUGUAAAAUUGGCAAAAAUGUAAUUUUUUUAAUAUAACUUUGAAAACAUUGGGUAUCAUCUGGUGUGGGCCGCACCCCCACAGUGGCACCACUGACUGUGAGCCCAACAAUUGUAAUUAACAAAAUAAUGUAGUUCCAAACAUGGGUUGAGAAUGAUAGAUAGAAAAAGCAUUUGAAGUUACUUAUGAAGUCAUUAAAUAUCAAAAACCAUGAUAAUUGUUGUAGCGACAAUUACAACUUUUGAAAUAUCAUAUUGCACUCCAAUACACAAGAUAUACCAACUUUGAAUUGACGGAAAAUGGUGUAAUAUAAAAAAGGUAAUAUGCUAUAUUUCUGAAAGACCAAGAGAAAUUUUCAUUGAAUUACUAUACAAUAUAUAUUUCUAGAAACGUGAUCAAGAAUGCAAUUAUAUAUUGUAUAUUGCAUAAGGACGUCAAAAAAAAAUCCGAUGAAUGGUUAAUAAUUUAUAUCCAAUUUUUAAUAAAAUUAGGAACUAUUAUAAUACUGCCAUCACAG